rnacentral:rRNA from 1 species
UACGGAGGGUGCGAGCGUUAUCCGGAUUUAUUGGGUUUAAAGGGUGCGUAGGCGGGAUGCCAAGUCAGCGGUCAAAUACGGGGGCUCAACCUCGUCGAGCCGUUGAAACUGUCAGACUUGAGUUGGCGAGAAGUACGCGGAAUGCGCGGUGUAGCGGUGAAAUGCAUAGAUAUCGCGCAGAACUCCGAUUGCGAAGGCAGCGUACCGGCGCCAGACUGACGCUGAGGCACGAAAGCGUGGGGAUCGAACAGG